CCCUUAGAUGUUCUGGGCCGCACGCGUGCUACACUGAUGCAUUCAACGAGUCUAAAACCUGGUCUGAUAGGGCUGGGUAAUCUUUUGAAAGUGCAUCGUGAUUGGGAUAGAUGAUUGCAAUUCUUCAUCUUCAACGAGGAAUGCCUAGUAAACGCAAGUCAUCAGCUUGCAUUGAUUACGUCCCUGCCCUUUGUACACACCGCCCGUCGCUCCUACCGAUUGGGUGUGCUGGUGAAAUGUUCGGAUCGGCCGUUUGUCGCGGUUUCCGCGUCAUGUGGCUGAGAAGUUCAUUAAACCCUCCCACCUAGAGGAAGGAGAAGUCGUAACA
rnacentral:rRNA from 1 species